rnacentral:rRNA from 1 species
AUUGAACGCUGGCGGCAGGCCUAACACAUGCAAGUCGAGCGGAUGAAGGGAGCUUGCUCCUGGAUUCAGCGGCGGACGGGCGAGUAAUGCCUAGGAAUCUGCCUGGUAGUGGGGGAUAACGUCAGGAAACGGGCGCUAAUACCGCACACGUCCUGAGGGAGAAAGUGGGGGAUCUUCGGACCUCACGCUAUUAGAUGAGCCUAGGUCGGAUUAGCUAGUUGGUGGGGUAAAGGCCUACCAAGGCGACGAUCCGUAACUGGUCUGCGAGGAUGAUCAGUCACACUGGAACUGAGACACGGUCCAGACUCCUACGGGAGGCAGCAGUGGGGAAUAUUGGACAAUGGGCGAAAGCCUGAUCCAGCCAUGCCGCGUGUGUGAAGAAGGUCUUCGGAUUGUAAAGCACUUUCAGUUGGGAGGAAGGGCAGUAAGUUAAUACCUUCCUGUUUUGACGUUACCAACAGAAUAAGCACCGGCUAACUUCGUG